rnacentral:rRNA from 1 species
AUACGGAGGGUGCAAGCGUUAAUCGGAAUUACUGGGCGUAAAGCGUACGUAGGCGGUUGGUUAAGUUAGAUGUGAAAGCCCCGGGCUUAACCUGGGAACUGCAUUUAAAACUGGCGGACUAGAGUUGAGUAGAGGGGAGUGGAAUUUCAGGUGUAGCGGUGAAAUGCGUAGAGAUCUGAAGGAACACCAGUGGCGAAGGCGACUCCCUGGACUCGAACUGACGCUGAGGUACGAAAGCGUGGGUAGCAAACGGGAUUAGAAACCCGAGUAGUCC